rnacentral:tRNA from 2 species
ACUGCGGUAGUCUAACAGACAUUUGAUUUCGACCCAAAAGAACUUAUCUAUAUAAGCCACAGUA